CUAAAACGUUGAAAAAACCUUCUUCCACAGCGCUGCCGAGGAGGGUCUGCUGAGUACACACAGCAUGCCGUGAUGGGAGAAAAACGUGCUCUGGUUUAUUGGCAUUUCUUUAAACCAAUCGCAAUCAUC